AUCAUCGGCAUUCUGGGUCUUGCGGCUUCUUCCAAUGCUCUCUCCGCCUGCAUCACACAGGCCAACAGCAACGAUUCGGUUCAACACGAUGUGUGCCCUUCAACUUCAAGCUCGUCGCUGUUGCUGAGGAGUGACCGGGGCUUCAGUGACCAGUUCUUUGACUUCAUCGAUGUGACACUGCGUGAAAUUCUGAGGAAUGGGACUGGGCCGCUGCCACCACUGGAUCCACUCGAGAUCAGCAAUCUGAGCCUGACGCUAGGAUCGGAAAGUGAAGCCUAUCAACCGCUAAUUCUGAACCUGAAAGACAUUGUCAUCGAAAAUAUAUUGGACUAUGUAGUGUUCAAUGCCUCUUACGUACCUGUUGGAUUCAGAUUAAUUGUAGCUAUAGACUUUCCUGAUAUCACAUUAAAUGCAAAAUACG